UUUACAGCCAGGGUUUUGAUAAAGGAUGCAUAACCGAAGAACUAGACCUACAGUCUAUUUCGGGGUCUUGAUGGGGACGUUCUACCUCCUAGGAGGCAUUUUUGCAAUGAGGAGUGUUUUUCAGUAGUCACAGUGAGUGCGGGACCUCACCGGCAUUUAGGGUAGGGGGCCAGGAUGCUGCGCAUCUGCCAACGGUUGGACAUCCUGCACUGUGAGAGGCUGUGGGUGCCCCUGCCUCCCAGAUUCCAACAGGCUCCCUGGAAUAAGCCCACAGAGUUGUCAAUCACUACUACUUCAGAACAUAAUGCUAUGGAAAGAUAUUUACAGGAUGAAAAAUAACGGGUCCAGGGUCUCAGGAUAAGCUAAGCAUGGAGCUGCACGCUGGCUUCUUCACUCCGUACACUGUGUCUAGGGAGUACACCCUAACAAAUCCAGCUGCACCGUUAGCUGGAUUCAGGGCAGAGACUAUAAAAAAGGUUGUUUUAAAACAUUUUAUAAUAUUUCCUACAUGUGAAAAGUUAUUGCACAAUGAUAAGAUGUUUCCAUUGUAAAAAUUACAUACUGGAAUUGUUUUUUUGGAGGGAGGGGUAUGUUGUUUUUUAGUCUUUCUCUGACGCUACGCCCUUGGAUCUUCACGUAGGUUCCCUAAAGCCGUUUCAGUUUAUUUUUCCGAUCCGGGCUGCAUUCUCCACUGGGUAUCACAGGACACGGUCUCCGAGGCAUUAUGAAGCGCUGGAGACUGGACGUGCACCUGGCCAGGUGGUAGGAUCCCAGGAGACUUCACUCCCCAUCCUAGCGGAGGAGAGUGGUUUGACACCACACCUGAAAUCAGGACCUGACUCGCGGUGGAGCUCACACUUCCCCACUUGCUGCAUCCCGGCCGUCUGUAAUUCCCCUAGGAAGAAACUUCUGAGUCUUUGCCACGGACGUUGUCUCCACCAGCAGCACACCUGGCAGCAGGGCCUCCCUUCCCGGUUCCUGGUCCUCCUCUCCCUGCCGUGGCUGCUAAGCUUUAGGUCCAGGGAGCAGCCCGUGUGUGAGGUCCUGG